rnacentral:rRNA from 1 species
UACGAAGGGGGGCUAGCGUUGCUCGGAAUCACUGGGCGUAAAGCGCACGUAGGCGGCUUUCUAAGUCAGGGGUGAAAUCCCGGGGCUCAACCUCGGAACUGCCUUUGAUACUGCAAAUCUCGAGUCCGAUAGAGGUGGGUGGAAUUCCUAGUGUAGAGGUGAAAUUCGUAGAUAUUAGGAAGAACACCGGUGGCGAAGGCGGCCCACUGGAUCGGUACUGACGCUGAGGUGCGAAAGCCAGGGGAGCAAACGGG